rnacentral:misc_RNA from 1 species
AAUUCUCAACCUUGGAACCAGUUUUGCGACUGGGUCAAGGCUUGGAUGUGAGGGCUUUGCUGGCUUCCUUUAGUGGAUGGUCUGCUCCCUUUAAAUGCAUUAGUGGGAUCCUUUGUGGACGGUCACUUGGUGUGAUAAUUAUCUACGCCUUGUUGACUGUGAAGCAAAACUUAUGGGACCCUGCUUAUAACCGUCCUUCGGGACAAUUUAUUGACC